rnacentral:lncRNA from 10 species
ACCUUUAAGUAUCUGCAGUGCUCUAUUUUGUUUCACUGUUCUGUCCUUCUGCCAGUACUUGUCUUAAUAAGCUUUACAAUGCCAGAAGUGGGUGGAGAACUGUAGGAGAGCAGACUUAGAAGAUAAAACACCUGAUCAGCUAAAUAAACAUUAUCGAUUAUGUGCCAAACAUUUUGAGACCUCUAUGAUCUGUAGAACUAUACAUUUUGCAGAGGCAUCAGAAAACUAAAGAAUGAUUGGGUUAUUUUAUUUCUCAAAAUUAAUUGAAGCAGAUACUUGUGAAGUCAUUGGGAGAGUCCUUAUAGGACAGUUCUUCGAGAUAAUGCAAUACCAACAAUAUUUGAUCUUACCAGUCAUUUGAACAACCCACAUAGUAGACACAGAAAACGAAUAAAAGAACUGAGUGAAGAUGAAAUCAGGACACUGAAACAGAAAAAAAUUGAUGAAACUUCUGAGCAGGAACAAAAACAUAAAGAAACCAACAAUAGCAAUGCUCAGAACCCCAGCGAAGAAGAGGGUGAAGGGCAAGAUGAGGAC